ACCAAGGCUUGACAUGCACCGGAAACCAAUCAGAGAUGGUGGCUCCGUAAGGCUGGUGCACAGGUGGUGCAUGGUUGUCGUCAGCUCGUGUCGUGAGAUGUUGGGUUAAGUCCCGCAACGAGCGCAACCCUCGUCCCAUGUUGCCAGCGGGUUAUGCCGGGGACGUCAUGGGAGGACUGCCGGGGUCGAACUCGGAGGAAGGUGGGGAUGACGUCAAAUCAUCAUGCCCCUUAUGUCUUGGGCUUCACGCAUGCUACAAUGGCCGGUACAGAGGGCUGCGAUGCCGUGAGGCGGAGCGAAUCCCAAAAAGACCGGUCUCAGUUCGGAUUGGGGUCUGCAGCUCGACCCCAUGAAGUCGGAGUCGCUAGUAAUCGCAGAUCAGCAACGCUGCGGUGAAUACGUUCCCGGGCCUU
rnacentral:rRNA from 1 species